AGGAGCAGAGGAGGUUUCUGUCAGUCACACUAUUUUCUUUCUUGCAUCCUAGGUUGCGAGCAUUUUCAACUCUGGUGGGGGGGAGGGUAGAGCACUCAGUGAGACCCAGGAGACGUUGAUUUCAAAUGGACUGGCUUUGCUUUCUCUUCACAUUAACAGAGCUGCCAUUGAUGGACACAGAGAGUGUUAAAACCCAGAGCACAUAAACCAGGAUGAGAAAAUUAAUCAGAAGAUAAAAGACAGCGGCUUUGGGGACCCUGGCCGAGCCCUCCUGCAUGCUCCUGGGACAUCCUUUCAGACCAGCAGCACCAUCCCGUGCAGGGGCUGUGACAGAUGACUUAUAAUGUAGACAUCACCUCUGCUGGUGGACAGCCUUCGGAUCUGCUGAGUCCUUUUAUAAUAAAUAAAACCAAACACGACAAAACACUAUAAACCCUUGCCUUCACGAGUGUGUCAUAGCCUGGUGUCAGGAACGGUUUGUUAAAAAAGAUCAAA
ensembl:processed_transcript 1700108F19Rik RIKEN cDNA 1700108F19 gene